GAUCAAGCUGUAAAGGGCAUACGGUGGAUGCCUAGGCGCCAGGAGCCGACGAAGGACGUGGUAAGCUGCGAAAAGCCCCGGUGAGCUGCAAACAAGCGUAGACCCGGGGAUGUCCGAAUGGGGUAACCCACCACAGGUAAUGCUGUGGUAUCACACACUGAAUGCAUAGGUGUGUGAGGGCAAGCGGGGGAACUGAAACAUCUUAGUACCCCGAGGAGAAGAAAGCAAAAGCGAUUCCCUGAGUAGCGGCGAGCGAAAGGGGAGGAGCCCAAACCCAUGUAGUGUAGAAGGGUGCAGCCGUUGCUACAUGGGGGUUUAGGACCUCAACGGACAGUCUGCACGCUGUCAGGGGUUAAACUGAGAGUCUAGCCGAACUGUCUGGGAAGGCAGGCCAUAGAAGGUGAGAGCCCUGUAGGCGAAAGGCUUGAAGACCCUGUUGAGGAUCCAGAGUACCACGGGACACGUGGAACCCUGUGGGAAGAUAGGAGGACCAUCUCCGAAGGCUAAAUACUCCCUGGCGACCGAUAGUGAAGAAGUACCGUGAGGGAAAGGUGAAAAGAACCCCGGGAGGGGAGUGAAAUAGAACCUGAAACCGUAUGCCUACAAGCAGUGGGAGGACUAUUAGAAAGUCUGACCGCGUACUUUUUGUAGAACGGACCGGCGAGUUAUGGCAUGUAGCGUAGAGGUUAAGCCGAAAGGGGCGAAGCCGUAGGGAAACCGAGUCUGAAGAGGGCGCAAGUUACAUGCCAUAGACCCGAAACCAGGUGAUCUAUCCAUGGCCAGGGUGAAGCAGGUGUAAGAGUCUGUGGAGGCCCGAACCACAUUGACGUUGAAAAGUCAUGGGAUGAGCUGUGGAUAGGGGUGAAAAGCCAAUCGAACCUGGAGAUAGCUGGUUCUCCCCGAAAUAGCUUUAGGGCUAGCCUCAGGUGUUAGGUAUCGGCGGUAGAGCACUGAUUGAGCUAGGGGCCCUGAAAGGUUACCGAACUCAUUCAAACUCCGAACACCGAUACCGAAGAGCCUGGGAGUCAGACUAUGUGGGAUAAGCUUCAUAGUCGAGAGGGGAACAGCCCAGACCGCCAGCUAAGGCCCCCAAGUACAGGCUAAGUGGGAAAGGAUGUGGGACUGCAUAGACAACCAGGAUGUUGGCUUAGAAGCAGCCAUUCAUUUAAAGAGUGCGUAAUAGCUCACUGGUCGAGUGGUUCUGCGCCGAAAAUGUACCGGGGCUAAGCCUGUCGCCGAAGCUGCGGAUUCGCGUAAGCGGAUGGUAGGGGAGCAUUCUAUACGGGGCGAAGCCGUACCGUAAGGAGCGGUGGACCGUAUAGAAGAGAGAAUGCCGGUAUGAGUAGCGAUAAGGGGAGUGAGAAUCUCCCCCGCCGAAAGCCUGAGGAUUCCUGAGGAAGGUUCGUCCGCUCAGGGUAAGCCGGGACCUAAGCUGAGGCCGAAAGGCGUAGGCGAUGGACAAUCGGUUGAGAUUCCGAUGCCGCCUAAUUGGCGUUUGAGCGAAGCGGUGACGCAGAAGGAUAGGCCAGCACAGUGGUGGAAUACUGUGUCCAAGCAUGUAGGAGGGCCGGAUAGGCAAAUCCGUCCGGCUGUUAACUCUGAGGUGUGAUGGGGAGCCCUGAAAUGGGGCGAAGUGGCUGAUUCCCCGCUGCCGAGAAAAGCCGCUAGCGAGCCAAUGGGCGCCCGUACCGCAAACCGACACAGGUGGGCGAGGAGAGAAUCCUAAGGCGCGCGAGAGAACCCCCGUUAAGGAACUCGGCAAAAUGACUCCGUAACUUCGGGAGAAGGAGUGCUCCGAGUAGGAGAAGCGGCGAGCCCGCGGAUUCGAAAGGAGUUGCAGAGAAUAGGCCCAGGCGACUGUUUACCAAAAACACAGGUCUCUGCUAAGUCGCAAGACGAAGUAUAGGGGCUGACGCCUGCCCGGUGCUGGAAGGUCAAGGGGAGAUGUUAGCCAUUAGAGGCGAAGCAUCGAACUUAAGCCCCAGUAAACGGCGGCCGUAACUAUAACGGUCCUAAGGUAGCGAAAUUCCUUGUCGGGUAAGUUCCGACCUGCACGAAUGGCGUAACGACCUGGGCGCUGUCUCAACGGGGGACUCGGCGAAAUUGUAGUGUGAGUGAAGAUGCUCACUACCCGCGGCAGGACGGAAAGACCCCGUGGAGCUUUACUGCAGCCUGAUAUUGGAUUUUGGUACAGCAUGUACAGGAUAGGUGGGAGGCGUAGAAGCCAGCACGCCAGUGUUGGUGGAGCCGUCGGUGGGAUACCACUCUUGCUGUGCUGGAAUUCUAACCAGAUACCGUGAUCCGGUAUUGGGACAUUGUCAGGUGGGCAGUUUGACUGGGGCGGUCGCCUCCUAAAAGGUAACGGAGGCGCCCAAAGGUUCCCUCAGUGCGGUCGGAAAUCGCACGUAGAGUGUAAAGGCAGAAGGGAGCUUGACUGCGAGACAGACAGGUCGAGCAGGUACGAAAGUAGGGCUUAGUGAUCCGGCGGUAGAGGAUGGAAUUGCCGUCGCUCAACGGAUAAAAGUUACCCCGGGGAUAACAGGCUUAUCUCCCCCAAGAGUUCACAUCGACGGGGAGGUUUGGCACCUCGAUGUCGGCUCGUCGCAUCCUGGGGCUGAAGCAGGUCCCAAGGGUUUGGCUGUUCGCCAAUUAAAGCGGUACGCGAGCUGGGUUCAGAACGUCGUGAGACAGUUCGGUCCCUAUCCGCCGCGGGCGUAGGAUAUUUGAGAGGAUCUGUCCCUAGUACGAGAGGACCGGGAUGGACGCACCGCUGGUGUACCAGUUGUCCCGCCAGGGGCACCGCUGGGUAGCUAUGUGCGGAGUGGAUAAACGCUGAAAGCAUCUAAGCGUGAAGCCACCCUCAAGAUUAGAUAUCCCGCUGAGUUAAUCAGGUAAGACCCCUGGAAGAUUACCAGGUAGAUAGGCCGGAGGUGUAAGGGCAGUGAUGUCCUUAGCUGACCGGUACUAAUAGGUCGAGGGCUUGAUCUA
rnacentral:rRNA from 1 species